rnacentral:rRNA from 1 species
CACUCCUACGGGAGGCAGCAGUGGGGAAUUUUGGACAAUGGGCGAAAGCCUGAUCCAGCAAUGCCGCGUGAGUGAAGAAGGCCUUCGGGUUGUAAAGCUCUUUUGUCAGGGAAGAAACGGUGAAAGCUAAUAUCUUUUGCUAAUGACGGUACCUGAAGAAUAAGCACCGGCUAACUACGUGCCAGCAGCCGCGGUAAUACGUAGGGUGCAAGCGUUAAUCGGAAUUACUGGGCGUAAAGCGUGCGCAGGCGGUUUUGUAAGUCUGAUGUGAAAUCCCCGGGCUCAACCUGGGAAUUGCAUUGGAGACUGCAAGGCUAGAAUCUGGCAGAGGGGGGUAGAAUUCCACGUGUAGCAGUGAAAUGCGUAGAUAUGUGGAGGAACACCGAUGGCGAAGGCAGCCCCCUGGGUCAAGAUUGACGCUCAUGCACGAAAGCGUGGGGAGCAAACAGGAUUAGAUACCCUGGUAGUCCCAUGAU